rnacentral:lncRNA from 1 species
GAAAGCUACCUUGUCAGCACCUUGGUCUUGAAACUGUAAGAAAUCAAUUUCUGUCGUUUAAGCCCCCCAGUCUUUGGAAUUUUGUUAUGGCAGCCCAAACUGACUAAGACAGUAUCUACUAGAAGGUUCAAGUCUGAAGAGGAAAAAAGUUUGCUUUCUGCUCUGAAGGCUUGCAUGGAAUUAGAUUCGUGUGUUAGAGACACACACGUAAAGACAAAUGCACAGACAGAAGACACUCCCAACUUCAUCUGCAUCUGGAUUUCCUGAGUCAGAAGGUAUCUUCCAGGGGUCUGAAAUCUAGAAAGACGGAAAUCACAAGACUAUGGAGACUCGCAAACAUUCACCAGCAGUACCUUCAGAGCAAUCAACACAGCAGAAGGUCUCCAACUGAACCGAGUCCAGUUCCUACUGAACACAAUUUGACUUCUGGAUCGCAGUCUGGAUUCUGA